AUUGAACGCUGGCGGCGUGCCUAAUACAUGCAAGUCGAGCGAAUGGAUUAAGAGCUUGCUCUUAUGAAGUUAGCGGCGGACGGGUGAGUAACACGUGGGUAACCUGCCCAUAAGACUGGGAUAACUCCGGGAAACCGGGGCUAAUACCGGAUAAUAUUUUGAACUGCAUGGUUCAAAAUUGAAAGGCGGCUUCGGCUGUCACUUAUGGAUGGACCCGCGUCGCAUUAGCUAGUUGGUGAGGUAACGGCUCACCAAGGCAACGAUGCGUAGCCGACCUGAGAGGGUGAUCGGCCACACUGGGACUGAGACACGGCCCAGACUCCUACGGGAGGCAGCAGUAGGGAAUCUUCCGCAAUGGACGAAAGUCUGACGGAGCAACGCCGCGUGAGUGAUGAAGGCUUUCGGGUCGUAAAACUCUGUUGUUAGGGAAGAACAAGUGCUAGUUGAAUAAGCUGGCACCCUGACGGUACCUAACCAGAAAGCCACGGCUAACUACGUGCCAGCCGCCGCGGUAAAAC
rnacentral:rRNA from 1 species